rnacentral:rRNA from 1 species
CCCUUAGAUGUCCUGGGCCGCACGCGCGCUACACUGAGUGUCUGAGAUACGAGUCUGCCUGGUCCGGCAAGGUCUAGGUAAUCGCUAAAAGACACAUCAUGCUUGGGAUAGAUGAUUGCAAAUAUUAAUCUUGAACGAGGAAUUCCUAGUAAGCGCAAGUCAACAGCUUGCGUUGAUUACGUCCCUGCCCUUUGUACACACCGCCCGUCGCUACUACUGAUUGGAUGUUUAAGCGAGGUUCUCGAACUGCUAGCGACUUAGCUUCGGUGAGGUCGCAGUGUGGGAAGUGAACCUAGCUUUGGUGUCUAGAGGAAGUAAAAGUCGUAACA